rnacentral:rRNA from 1 species
AGCGAACAGAUAAGGAGCUUGCUCCUUUGAAGUUAGCGGCGGACGGGUGAGUAACACGUGGGUAACCUACCUAUAAGACUGGGAUAACUUCGGGAAACCGGAGCUAAUACCGGAUAACAUUUAGAACCGCAUGGUUCUAAAGUGAAAGAUGGUUUUGCUAUCACUUAUAGAUGGACCCGCGCCGUAUUAGCUAGUUGGUAAGGUAACGGCUUACCAAGGCGACGAUACGUAGCCGACCUGAGAGGGUGAUCGGCCACACUGGAACUGAGACACGGUCCAGACUCCUACGGGAGGCAGCAGUAGGGAAUCUUCCGCAAUGGGCGAAAGCCUGACGGAGCAACGCCGCGUGAGUGAUGAAGGGUUUCGGCUCGUAAAACUCUGUUAUUAGGGAAGAACAAAUGUGUAAGUAACUGUGCACAUCUUGACGGUACCUAAUCAGAAAGCCACGGCUAACUACGUGCCAGCAGCCGCGGUAAUACGUAGGUGGCAAGCGUUAUCCGGAAUUAUUGGGCGUAAAGCGCGCGUAGGCGGUUUCUUAAGUCUGAUGUGAAAGCCCACGGCUCAACCGUGGAGGGUCAUUGGAAACUGGGAAACUUGAGUGCAGAAGAGGAAAGUGGAAUUCCAUGUGUAGCGGUGAAAUGCGCAGAGAUAUGGAGGAACACCAGUGGCGAAGGCGACUUUCUGGUCUGUAACUGACGCUGAUGUGCGAAAGCGUGGGGAUCAAACAGGAUUAGAUACCCUGGUAGUCCACGCCGUAAACGAUGAGUGCUAAGUGUUAGGGGGUUUCCGCCCCUUAGUGCUGCAGCUAACGCAUUAAGCACUCCGCCUGGGGAGUACGACCGCAAGGUUGAAACUCAAAGGAAUUGACGGGGACCCGCACAAGCGGUGGAGCAUGUGGUUUAAUUCGAAGCAACGCGAAGAACCUUACCAAAUCUUGACAUCCUUUGAAAACUCUAGAGAUAGAGCCUUCCCCUUCGGGGGACAAAGUGACAGGUGGUGCAUGGUUGUCGUCAGCUCGUGUCGUGAGAUGUUGGGUUAAGUCCCGCAACGAGCGCAACCCUUAAGCUUAGUUGCCA